rnacentral:rRNA from 1 species
UUUUUCCUACGGGGGGCAGCAGUAGGGAAUUUUCGUCAAUGGGCGCAAGCCUGAACGAGCAAUGCCGCGUGAACGAGGAAGGUCUUCGGAUCGUAAAGUUCUGUUGAAGGGGAAAAAGAGCGGAGAGAGGAAAUGAACUCCGAUUGAUAUUACCCUUCGAGGAAGUCACGGCUAACUACGUGCCAGCAGCCGCGGUAAUACGUAGGUGGCGAGCGUUAUCCGGAAUGAUUGGGCGUAAAGGGUGCGUAGGCGGCCUGCUAAGUCUGGAGUGAAAGGGACCGGCUCAACCGGGACAGGCCCUGGAA